UCCAUAUAUAAAGUAUUUCACUUUUAUUAGAA
rnacentral:tRNA from 1 species